UUAGGUUUAGAAAACGAAAAUAAGGCUUUGACCAAAAAUCUACAACAGAAAACAGAGCUGAGUGAUAGUGCAUUACAGCAGUUAGCUGACGCUAAAGCAGAAGUUGGAAUUCUCCAAGAAAUGUUAAGUGUAGAAAAAAGAAGGAAUAUUAGAAUUGAUACAAAUAGCCCUGUACACAAGGAAACCAGUAUCAAAAAGGAAACAGCAAAUCAGCCCACACCAGUGCCACAACAGCAAGAAUUUGAUCCCCAUACAGAAAACAUUUUUGAGUCUGAUUCAGAGAUUACUCUAAUGGCUCCUUCUCUUAAGACGUGCAAAGAAAUUCAAAUUUGACAAGCUGUCCUCUCCUUGAAUGAUGCUUUUGUUGAUUCCGCUUCUGCCAUUUUGUUACGACUGCCAGAAUCAAUAACAUGUCUCCACAUCAACAGGACACCUUUAUCUUAUGACAGUGUUCAAUCCAUCAUUAAAUUGCUGGAAAGGCUCAAGGCUCUUCGUCUUACAAAUGUCUCUCUUCCUUCUACUGGUUUGAGCUACAUCUUUAAUGUCCUGUUGACUAAUGACUCGUUAAAAGAAUUCACCAUUCAAUUCAGCAGUCAAAUGAUACUGCCUCUCUCCUCCACAAGUGCUGCUUCUUACGCACAAGCUAUUUCGGAUGUUGUUUGGAGGAACUCAACUUUGCAGUACUUCUCUGCUCUUGGCCUAAGGUUCAAUGAAGCUGGGGUGGUAAAAAUCCUACUUGCUCUUGCAAGGAAGAACAACACUCUUCAAAUGCUCACCCUAGACCAGUCUCAUCAAGAAACUGCUUACGAAUUUUCUAAAACUAAUGGUCCCAUUAAAGACAGACUGAGCUUUUUGUAACUGAGUUUUUUUUCUCUUUGUGGUGCUGACUAUUUUAUUAUAGUAAUAGUUUAGCAAUGUUCUAUUUUACUAGUAUAGUUAAUAGACUUCUGAUGCUGUGUGUACCUUUAUAAAUGCUUGUACUUAUUAUAGUAUUUUCUUAAGUUAGUUUCAAA